rnacentral:rRNA from 1 species
ACGGGAGGCAGCAGUGGGGAAUAUUGGACAAUGGGGGAAACCCUGAUCCAGCGACGCCGCGUGAGUGAAGAAGUAUUUCGGUAUGUAAAGCUCUAUCAGCAGGGAAGAAAAUGACGGUACCUGACUAAGAAGCCCCGGCUAACUACGUGCCAGCAGCCGCGGUAAUACGUAGGGGGCAAGCGUUAUCCGGAUUUACUGGGUGUAAAGGGCGUGUAGGCGGAAAGGCAAGUCAGAAGUGAAAUCCCCGGGCUUAACCCGGGAACUGCUUUUGAAACUGUCUUCCUUGAGUAUCGGAGAGGCAGGCGGAAUUCCUAGUGUAGCGGUGAAAUGCGUAGAUAUUAGGAAGAACACCGGUGGCGAAGGCGGCCUGCUGGACGACAACUGACGCUGAGGCGCGAAAGCGUGGGGAGCAAACAGGAUUAGAUACCCUGGUA